GCGGAGGAAAAGAAAAUAACAAUGAUUUCCCUAGUAACGGCGAGUGAACAGGAAAGAGCUCAAAGUUCGAACCUGUUUGGUUUAGCCAAACCGGAUUGUAAACUGUAGAAGUGUUUUCCUGACACGCCUGACGAAAAAGUCCAUUGGAACAUGGUGACAUAGAGGGUGAGAGCCCCGUAUUUUGUCAGAGCUGUUGUCUCUUGUGAUACACUUUCAAAGAGUCAGGUUGUUUGGGAAUGCAGCCUAAAUUGGGUGGUAAAUCUCACCUAAAGCUAAAUAUUGGCAAAAGACCGAUAGCGAACAAGUACCGUGAGGGAAAGAUGAAAAGAACUUUGAAAAGAGAGUUAAACAGUAUGUGAAAUUGUUAAAAGGGAACCGUUUGGAGCCAGACUGGCUUGAUUGUAAUCAAUCUAGAUCUCGAUCUGGAUGCACUUGCAGUCUAUGCCUGCCAACGACAAUUCAUUCUGGAGGAAAAAACUAAGUGGAAUGUGGCCCCUCGGGGUGUUAUAGACUCUUAGAAAAUACUCUGGUUUGGAUUGAGGAACGCAGUGAAUGCUAUUUGGCGAAGAUGCUGGGUGCUUUUAUUUUUGUUGUCUAGAAUUUCUGCUUCGGGUGGUGCUAGAUACCACGAGUAAAACUCGCGUAGUAUACUUUUUAUUCACUUAGGUUGUUGGCUUAAUGACUCUAAAUGAC
rnacentral:rRNA from 1 species